rnacentral:misc_RNA from 1 species
GAUGAAGAACGCAGCGAAAUGCGAUACGUAAUGUGAAUUGCAGAAUUCAGUGAAUCAUUGAGUCUUUGAACGCACAUUGCGCCCCCUGGUAUUCCGGGGGGCAUGCCUGUCCGAGCGUCAUUGCUGCCCUCAAGCACGGCUUGUGUGUUGGGCCUCCGUCCUCCUCCCGGGGGACGGGCCCGAAAGGCAGCGGCGGCACCGCGUCCGGUCCUCGAGCGUAUGGGGCUUCGUCACCCGCUCUUGUAGGCCCGGCCGGCGCUUGCCGACACAUCAAUCUUUUUUCCAGGUUGACCUCGGAUCAGGUAGGGAUACCCGCUGAACUUAAGCAUAUCAAUAAGCGGAGGA